UAUCUACAGGCUUAACACAUGCAAGUCGAGGGGCAGCAUGGUCUUAGCUUGCUAAGGCCGAUGGCGACCGGCGCACGGGUGAGUAACACGUAUCCAACCUGCCGUCUACUCUUGGACAGCCUUCUGAAAGGAAGAUUAAUACAAGAUGGCAUCAUGAGUCCGCAUGUUCACAUGAUUAAAGGUAUUCCGGUAGACGGUGGGGAUGCGUUCCAUUAGAUAGUAGGCGGGGUAACGGCCCACCUAGUCUUCGAUGGAUAGGGGUUCUGAGAGGAAGGUCCCCCACAUUGGAACUGAGACACGGUCCAAACUCCUACGGGAGGCAGCAGUGAGGAAUAUUGGUCAAUGGGCGAGAGCCUGAACCAGCCAAGUAGCGUGAAGGAUGACUGCCCUAUGGGUUGUAAACUUCUUUUAUAAAGGAAUAAAGUCGGGUAUGGAUACCCGUUUGCAUGUACUUUAUGAAUAAGGAUCGGCUAACUCCGUGCCAGCAGCCGCGGUAAUACGGAGGAUCCGAGCGUUAUCCGGAUUUAUUGGGUUUAAAGGGAGCGUAGAUGGAUGUUUAAGUCAGUUGUGAAAGUUUGCGGCUCAACCGUAAAAUUGCAGUUGAUACUGGAUAUCUUGAGUGCAGUUGAGGCAGGCGGAAUUCGUGGUGUAGCGGUGAAAUGCUUAGAUAUCACGAAGAACUCCGAUUGCGAAGGCAGCCUGCUAAGCUGCAACUGACAUUGAGGCUCGAAAGUGUGGGUAUCAAACAGGAUUAGAUACCCUGGUAGUCCACACGGUAAACGAUGAAUACUCGCUGUUUGCGAUAUACAGCAAGCGGCCAAGCGAAAGCGUUAAGUAUUCCACCUGGGGAGUACGCCGGCAACGGUGAAACUCAAAGGAAUUGACGGGGGCCCGCACAAGCGGAGGAACAUGUGGUUUAAUUCGAUGAUACGCGAGGAACCUUACCCGGGCUUAAAUUGCAGAUGAAUUACGGUGAAAGCCGUAAGCCGCAAGGCAUCUGUGAAGGUGCUGCAUGGUUGUCGUCAGCUCGUGCCGUGAGGUGUCGGCUUAAGUGCCAUAACGAGCGCAACCCUUGUUGUCAGUUACUAACAGGUUCCGCUGAGGACUCUGACAAGACUGCCAUCGUAAGAUGUGAGGAAGGUGGGGAUGACGUCAAAUCAGCACGGCCCUUACGUCCGGGGCUACACACGUGUUACAAUGGGGGGUACAGAGGGCCGCUACCACGCGAGUGGAUGCCAAUCCCCAAAACCUCUCUCAGUUCGGACUGGAGUCUGCAACCCGACUCCACGAAGCUGGAUUCGCUAGUAAUCGCGCAUCAGCCACGGCGCGGUGAAUACGUUCCCGGGCCUUGUACACACCGCCCGUCAAGCCAUGGGAGCCGGGGGUACCUGAAGUGCGUAACCGCGAGGAGCGCCCUAGGGUAAAACUGGUGACUGG
rnacentral:rRNA from 1 species